UUUUGUUUUUCAUUAAGCCAUUACUCAGAGAAGCAUAGUGUUUUCUCUUUUAUUUCAUAUGAGAGGUGUUUGACGAAUUUCCAAUUCAGAACAGUGACAAAUUGAGUAUACUUUAGAGACAGUGACUAAGGAAGCUUCAGCGAAAUGGAGAUAAUUCUCUAGGAAGAUAAUCUUGGAGAAGAUUGCCCUAUCUUUGAAAACCUGUUUCAGUUCUGUAAAAUUUAUGCUGGUGGAACUAUAGAUGCUGAGCGUAGAUUGAACAAUCGGCUUUGUGACAUUGCCAUAAAUUGGGCUGGUGGACUACAUCAUGCCAAGAAGUGCGAGGCAUCUGGUUUUUGUUACAUCAAUGACUUGGUUUUGGGGAUUUUGGAGCUUCUAAAAUAUCAUCCACGUGUUCUAUACAUUGGUAUAGAUGUGUAGCAUGGUGAUGGUGUUGAAGAAGCAUUCUAUUUUACAGACAGACCAAUUAUUGCUUGCUGAAUCUGUUAACCCACAAUCAUAAGAGCAUCAAGAAAGAAGCCUGUUGAACAAUCUCAAACAUUACUGCUGGAAACAAGGAACAGAUACAGAUUGGUUUUUGAUGACGUUUGGAAGUAUACUUGCAAAUGAAGAUCAACUGUUGAAUUU